rnacentral:rRNA from 1 species
CCUACGGGAGGCAGCAGUGGGGGAUAUUGCACAAUGGGGGAAACCCUGAUGCAGCAACGCCGCGUGUGGGAAGAAGGUUUUCGGAUUGUAAACCUCUGUUCUUGGUGAAGAUAAUGAUGGUAAUCACGUAGUAAGCUCCGGCUAAUUACGUGCCAGCAGCAGCGGUAUUACGUAGGGAGCAAGCGUUGUACGGAUUGACUGGGUGUAAUGGGUGCGUAGGCGGUCUUGCAAGUCAGACGUGAAAACAAUAGGCUCAACCUGAGGACUGCGUUGGAAACUGUGGGACUUGAGUGAAGUAGCGGUAGGCGGAAGUCCCGGUGUAGCGGUGAAAUGCGUAGAGAUCGGGAGGAACACCAGUGGCGAAGGCGGCCUACUGGGCUUUAACGGACGCUGAGGCACGAAAGCAUGGGUAGCAAACAGGAUUAGAUACCCGAGUAGUC